rnacentral:rRNA from 1 species
ACCAGUGACCCCCGGCUUCGGCCGGGGAUGAUCAUAACCCUUUGCUGUCCGACUCUGUUGCCUCCGGGGCGACCCUGCCUCCGGGCGGGGGCCCCGGGUGGACACAUUCAAACUCUUGCGUAACUUUGCAGUCUGAGUAAAUUUAAUUAAUAAAUUAAAACUUUCAACAACGGAUCUCUUGGUUCUGGCAUCGAUGAAGAACGCAGCGAAAUGCGAUAAGUAAUGUGAAUUGCAGAAUUCAGUGAAUCAUCGAAUCUUUGAACGCACAUUGCGCCCCCUGGUAUUCCGGGGGGCAUGCCUGUUCGAGCGUCAUUUCACCACUCAAGCCUCGCUUGGUAUUGGGCGACGCGGUCCGCCGCGCGCCUCAAAUCGACCGGCUGGGUCUUCUGUCCCCUCAGCGUUGUGGAAACUAUUCGCUAAAGGGUGCCACGGGAGGUCACGCCGUAAAACAAGCCCAUUUCUAAGGUUGACCUCGGAUCAGGUAGGGAUACCCGCUGAACUUAAGCAUAUCAAUAAGCGGAGGAAAAGAAACCAACAGGGAUUGCUCUAGUAACGGCGAGUGAAGCAGCAAUAGCUCAAAUUUGAAAUCUGGCGUCUUCGGCGUCCGAGUUGUAAUUUGUAGAGGAUGCUUCUGGGC